rnacentral:rRNA from 1 species
UACGUAGGGUGCUAGCGUUGUUCGGAAUCAUUGGGCGUAAAGCGCGUGUAGGCGGUCAAAUAAGUCUGGUGUGAAAGCCCUGGGCUCAACCGAGGAAGUGCAUCAGAAACUAUUUGACUAGAAGACGGUAGAGGAAGGUGGAAUUCCAAGUGUAGAGGUGAAAUUCGUAGAUAUUUGGAGGAAUACCGGUGGCGAAGGCAAUCCCCUGGGCCUGCACUGACGCUCAUGCACGAAAGCGUGGGGAGCAAACAGG